rnacentral:lncRNA from 1 species
AAUUAAAAACAUUUUAGUGUCAUAAGUCUGAGGAGUAAAGAGACCUAAAUUUGAACUCCUUUUGCUUUCAGAUGAGGAGCAAACCUUCCCAGAAGAGAAGACUAAAGGGGAAGUUUAUUUCAAGUCUUUGAAAACUUGUUCCCCAUAUCAUCCAACUGAAAGUCUUGCCCAGGGAACUCUACUCCUGGUACCAGACAUGGUUGCUCUUCACUUGCUGGUCAUGUCUGGUUAGGCGGAUUCAACCUUAACCUAGAGUGUCCAUUCUCAACCUGUGGGUUGUGAUCUCAUUGGCAAACCACUACCUGCAAUAACAUAUACAUUAUGAUUCAUAAGAGAAAUGGCUUCACGGAUGCUUCUCACCUUAUUUGUUCAGUGGAACUCACACACUGC